UCUCAAAUAAAGAAAUCAGUCAUUUAUUGGCUAAGACGAUGUUGAUGUGAGAGGAGCUGGAUGAUGAACAAAUUCUAAAGGUAUUUAAAGUUUGUGAACAUUUUAAAAGUUGAACAGUACAGUAGUCAUACGAAAAUCAUGUUAGUUUAUCUAAAUUUACAGUACAAGGGAGGCAUGUGUAACUUUGGAGAUAUUUUAUACGAAAAGGCAGAUAGACAAAAUUUCAGGGAGAAAACAUUUUCUUGCAGUUUAAUUGCUCAAUAACAAAAUGUACGAAGAAGAAGAAAAAAAUGAAAGGGCAAGUAAUAUCUGAGAGUAUAUUCAGUGCGAAAAGGUCAUUCAAUGGUCUUUAAUAUAUACAGAGUACUAUAGAGAUAUCAAAAUUCUUAUUGAAAAUAAAAAUGAACCAUGAAAAUUUUAGCGUAAUUUGCGCAGAAAGUUAAUGACUCAAUUUCCUCAUAUAUUCUUAAGCAAUCGUGAUGUGUUUUAGGACUCCUUGUUUUACACGAUUCUGAUUCAGUUGAAUGUUCAAACAAACGUUUGAAUAUAAGAUAUUCUUAUAACUUAACACAAGCUUGUAAAUGACCAUGAUGUUGUUUACUUUCGGCGGGACGAACCGAUUCAUGUCCAUUCAAAUUAGUAUUGUUUGUUGAGCCUUUGUGUAUGGACAUUUGAAAGUGGACCAAAGAUAUUCUGAGUUCAUCUAUUGUCUGCUGUGGAAACAGGUGCUUGCUUACCUUGAUCUGAGUCAGUAGAGUGCUUAACAGGAGCAGUAAUCGCGGAGAAAAACCUGUGUAUCUAGCAAGGUUAGUUUGUUCUGCAGGGAGUGUACACUACUAUACUUCAAACAUGAUUUUCGAAGGGUGUGGUGUCAGGUUAGGAGUCCCCGCCCUCAGUGUAACCAAAGUGUGUACCAGGUCAGUUCUAAAGACAGAGAGAAAGACAGAGAGAGAGAAAAAAGGGAAAGAGACAGAGAGAGCCUUUUUUAAUACUCAUUUAUCAGAGAUGUAACAACACAUGCACAAAAAUGCAGUUAUGUACACUUGAAUUUUUUCUUAAGAUGUUUCUUUCUCACAUUAUCACCACUGUGAGAUCAACUUUACCCAUGCGAGACAGCCAUGUGAGAUUUUUCUGUCUCCCACUGCUGUGACAUCAUUGAUUGUAACAUCAUAUAUUUUUUAUGAUUUACUUUACACGGUGAAGAUUUAUGUUACACGGUGAAGUAAAAUAUUUUCUAUUGUU